AAGUCGUAACAAGGUUUCCGUAGGUGAACCUGCGGAAGGAUCAUUAACACGUAUCCAACGUUAAACAACCCUGUGAACUUUCAACAGCAAUCCCGGUAAAUCAAUGGCGGAAAAGUUUUGAUUCGGGACCUCUGUCCAAAAGGUAUCAAGUUACAAUCGAGCAGAGCAGUGGCAUGGUUUCCCUAAGCAGUGCAGAAGGAUCCACUGAGUAAGGAUAACGCAUCACGGUUGCCAGAGGUCGAUCACCGGCCGGCAGACAUGUCACAGGGCGUGCGCGCCCCCUCAUUCACCCCUUGCCCUCUCAAGCCUCGCGGAAACGCCGGGCAUAAAAACCGAACAACUGUUAACAAUGGAUAUCUUGGUUCUC
rnacentral:misc_RNA from 1 species